CUCGCAGUUGCAGCCUUGCAGGUAAAGGAGACGACGACCCACGCUCCACUUGCAGUCCUGCUUGCUUCCUAGAACGUUGGAAGCGGAGACGAGAGGAGGGAGGAGGGUUUUUCCUUGGCGGGGUUUUGUUUUUUUUUAUCUCCUCGUCACCUGAGAACCAUAGAGGAGAGCUCUUUCGCCGAUCGCAAUGGCCGACGACGACUACAACGACAUGGACAUGGGAAAUGAGGAUGAACCACCAGAGCCUGAGAUUGAGGAAGGUGUGGAGGAUGAAUUGGAUAACAACAACAAUGAAGACGUUCCACACCCUCUUGAUACCGAAGAUAAAGGAGAGCAGGAACCUGUAGAACGGCCUCAUAAGACAUCAAUGUACAUGACCAAAUAUGAGCGCGCAAGGAUUUUGGGCACUCGUGCCUUGCAGAUCAGCAUGAAUGCACCUGUAAUGGUUGAGUUGGAGGGCGAAACUGAUCGUCUAGAGAUUGCAAUGAAGGAGCUUCGAGAGAGGAAAAUACCAUUCACCAUCCGCCGCUACCUUCCAGAUGGAAGUUAUGAGGAUUGGGGAGUUGAUGAGUUAAUUGUGGAAGAUUCCUGGAAGAGGCAAGUUGGUGGUGAUUGAUGCCUGCCUUGCAUCAAGUUGAAGAGUGGAUCCAUGAUCCAUGCUUAAAUGCUAGUGGUUUUAUCCAGUGCUGUGAGAAAACCAGCAAACAGACUUUCACAUGCAUCAGGAUGCUGAACCUUCUGAUUUACACAUUGAUGCUCCGUCCUUGGAUCUUGAGAGAUAUGGUAACUUUAGUGGCUCACAUGCUGAUUGGCUCAUCAGAAUUUACUGGUUAUCGUAGUUUCAAAUUGGUUCUUCCACGAUUUUUGGCCAUUUAUGUGAAAGAUCGAAGAAUGCCAUGCUGAUCGACCAUGUGAAAGCCGGAUGCGUGGAUGCUUGCAACCUACCCUUGCUUUCGGAGGCAUUCGCAAUACGAAAACCAGACAGAUUAGAUGGUGACCACGUGGUUUUCGUCCUCAGGAUGUGGGGACUGGCAAGUUUUUGUUUAGUAAUCGUGUGAUUCCCGUGGAUUGGCCAACUAGAAGUGAUUACUUUAUCGAUGGGCAAUCUCGGUCAUAUCCAGAAUCUUUUUCUUUAGUAAUUUGUGCCCCCGAAACAUGACUCGUCCACAAAUCAGAAAUCAUUUACGUGA